ACUCCCACCAGUGCCAUGACAGUUUACAAAUGCUAUGUCAAUGUCAGGGAGUUACCCUAUAUAAUCUAAAAAGGGGAGGCAUGAAUAAUCCACCCCUUGUUCAGCAUAUAAUUAAGAAAUAACCAUAAAAAUGGCAAACAGCAGCCCUCAAAGCUGCUCUGUCUAUGGAAUAUUCUUUUAUUUCUUUAUUUCUUUACUUUCUUAAUAAACUUGCUUUCACUUUAAGAAAAUUAUUGGUUUGGCCGGGCAUGGUGGCUCAUGCCUGUAAUCCCAGCACUUUGGGAGGCCGAGACAGGCAGAUCACCUGAGGUCGGGAGUUCGAGACCAGCCUGACCAACAUGGAGAAACCUCGUCUCUACUAAAAAUACAAAAUUAGCUGGGCAUGGUGGCACAUGCCUGUAAUCCCAGCUACUAGAGAGGGUGAGGCAGGAAAAUCACUUGAACCUGGGAGGUGGAGGUUGCGGUGAGCCGAGAUCAUGCCAUUGCACUCCAGCCUGGGCAACAGAGCGAAACUCUGUCUCGAAAAAAAAAAAAAAUUAUUGGCUCAUUUCCUUAUUUGAGUUAUUGUUGAGUUGUAAGAGUUAUUAAUAUAUUCCAGAUACUAGACUCUUGUCAGAUCUAUUAUUUGCAAAUAUUUUCUCCAAUUCUG
rnacentral:lncRNA from 10 species